UACGAAGGGGGCUGGCGUUGCUCGGAAUCACUGGGCGUAAGCGCACGUAGGCGGAUCUUUAAGUCAGGGGUGAAAUCCUGGAGCUCAACUCCAGAACUGCCUUUGAUACUGGGGAUCUCGAGUCCGGAAGAGGUGAGUGGAACUCCGAGUGUAGAGGUGAAAUUCGUAGAUAUUCGGAAGAACACCAGUGGCGAAGGCGGCUCACUGGUCCGGUACUGACGCUGAGGUGCGAAAGCGUGGGGAGCAAACAGG
rnacentral:rRNA from 1 species